rnacentral:lncRNA from 1 species
GGGGCUGGGCCACGAGUCCUGGGCUACAGGCCCCGUCCCUCCAGGCCCCGCGGGCCACCCCGCCGGGCCACGUGGAGUCCUGGAGGGGGGCAAAGAAGCCGGCAAGCGGGAGGCAGCAGAGGAAGGCAGGACCCUGGUGCCCCAAGACCAGCACGAGCCUCAGGACGGAAGACCUGGGCCGGAGAGCCUGUGUGCGAGGCAGGGACAGGCCUGGGGACGCUGCCCCGGCCGACAUUGACCAUGUCUUGCUCACUCCCCGCACGCUGCCCACCCCUCGGCCUGGCCACUGACCCGCCCGUGGCGACGUGCUGUUUCCAUUAACCUCGGAUCCCUUCUCCUUUGACCUCUGACCUGGGCAUUGCCUCUUGUUCCAUGGCCCUCCUUAGUCCAUGAAGUUCAUGAACCAGGUAUGUGCCAUGACUUCAGUCUCGUGUGGGCGCGUGUGCACACGUGGUGAGUGUGAGUGUGAGCCGCAGCCUGGCUGAGAAGGAACAAGAGGGCCCGCGUAACCCACUCACGGCGUGUUCUGCUGGCCUGCUGCCUCCCCCAUCUCAGCCCCAAGUUCACGGCUGGUUCUCUCUCCCCCUCCCCCCACGGUGCUGCUUCUGCAGAGGAAGUUCAAGAAGAGGAGAAGCCGAGACCCAAGUAAGUAUGGGCUGGGGGCAAGGCUGGAUGCCUGGUGGGCAGGCGGGCGCUGGGUGAGAGGGCAAGGCCUGGAGUCCACGCUUGGAGACACUGAGAGGGCAGUCUCAAUGGGUGGGGUCCACCGGGGGAACCACUCCCCACAGGAAGGCAGCAUGUUGGUCCCGGGGACCCAGACCCCUGCAAAACAGCGGCCGUUUCUCACUCCUCGCUGUGGUGUUCAAGAGUCCAGCUUCUGAUGAGGCACGUGGUGCGAUGGGGUGACAGGGGCAGCCAGAGCCCCCCAGGUGGGGUCAGAGACCACCUGCUGCUUUACCCCGGGGCUGCACAGAGAUGACUCUGGGGUCCAGGCAGGCAUGGCUCCGCCCCAGCCCAUCCAGUGCAGGCCAGGAGGGCUUCCUGCAGGAGGAGGCCAAGGGUGGAGAAAGGACGUUGGGAAGGUGGGGAGACGGGGCAGAGAGAGGGAGGCCCAGGGAGCCCCCAGGCCCUCUGUGCGAAACAGGUGGGAGUGGGGCCACGGGAGGGAGGGUCUCACCCCGAAACCCACUUCAGAACAGAACCUUGACCCGAGCCUCGAUCCUUCCCGGUGCCAGGGCAUCUGAGCCCCCAGGAGUUCCAAAGGGCCCCAUUCCCUCAUCUGACCCACUCAGGAGGAAGUGAGGGAUUUUUUUUUUUUUUUUCGUCUUUUUGCCUUUUCUUGGGCUGCUUCUGUGGCAUAUGGAGGUUCCCAGGCUAGGGGUCUAAUCCGAGCUGUAGCCGCCAGCCGACACCACAGCCACAGCAACACCAGAUCCAAGCUGCAUCUGCGACCUACACCAUAGCUCACGGCCAUGCCAUAUCCUUAACCCACUGAGCAAGGGCAGGGACCGAACCCGCAACCUCAUGGUUCCUAGUCGGAUUCGUUAACCACUGCGCCACGACGGGAACUCCCUGAGGGAUUUUUUUUGCCAUAUUCCGACUGUCCCGCCUUUUCUGUUUCUGAUGAGUUCCAGCACAGGGCCCCCCCACCCCCGGGGGAGGGGGCAUUCGCGCUGCCUCAGCUCCACAGAGCCAGACGCCUCAUCAGCGCACGUCCAGCUUCGCCCCCUCGGAGGGAAGCGCUAGGGAUUCUCAGAAGAAGCCUGGAAAUAGACGGAGGGUUAGCCAGCACCUUCCGACUCCGGGACUUUAUUUUUCAGCAAUUUUAAAGAAAGCUGCCGGGUCACAAGAUAUUUUCUAGUUUAAAAAAAAUGUUUGUGUUUUCAUUAUGAAAAUAAAACACCUCAUUAAAGAAAAUUUGGAAAAUACAUAAAAGUCCAACCAAAAAAAAAAAAAAAAAAAAAGUCAUCUCUAACUCCCCCACCCCGCCAGCCAGACUGCGGAAAAGAGUAGAGAGAAAUAAAAAGGCUUAUUUCUUCCUACCCUUUUUCCAUGCAUAGGGCUCGGAAAAAAAAAAAAAAAAAA